CGGAGUUAGUCGCCAUCUUUGAGUGGGGCAGACGUGGGCCGCUUUUGCUCGCGGUCACUUCAUCUUAAGUUGUAUAUAUGUGCAGAGCGCGGCGCGGGUGGUCACCUCCGCUGCUGCCGCCACCCGCCCGGCCUGCCUUUGACCCUAUGGGUCACAGACAAGGCAGGGUGAUCGCGGCAAGACCCUGAGUGAGACUAGAUGCGUUACCCAGAGGGUGCGAGGUCGAGUACCUUCCCUGUCCCAUCGCAAACCCAAAGAUCCCCGUUCCUGGAGAUUCUGAUUGAGGUAAACUAACAAAACAUG
rnacentral:lncRNA from 10 species